UGGGGGGGGACGCCUGUAUUUCCCAGGAUCUGCUUGCAGGGUAUAGUUUACGCCCAUAGGCUGGGCAACUGAAGGGCCCCAGAAGACACGCAGAUCCUGCACCUGUUCCAAGGCGUUUCAGAGGGGAGACCGAAACCCGACCCGCCCGAGAAAAGUUCCCAAGGUCCCGGGCCCACUUCUAGGUUAUUCGGCUCUUGGAGGCCCAGAGUCUCGAGUUCUGCAGUGGCCGCCAAUCGCGCCAGUUCCAAGCACCCGUCUGCCGCCGCAGUUCCGCGCCGCGGUGGACGGGGUGGGGGGUGGGGGACAGGUGUUCUAGCCCUAGUUCUGCAUUUCCCACCUCCCACCCCCAAUCUUUGAACUGCGAUGCACCGCUUGCUCUCCGUCCUGUAUUAAGUUUUCCCUCCCCGCAGCUUCUCCCUUAGACGCCGUGACCAGUAACCGUCAAGGAAGUACUCCCACGCCCAUCCCGAUUCCGAGGACCCGAGCCCUAGAGCGGCCUAGCCGGGUGGAUCCGGAGGUUCCUACCUCUCGCUCUCUUUCCACCCACUAUCCGUGCACACCCCUUUGACAGCCAAGACCUUGCGGAGAGCCAGAGACCGGUCCCCUGGGGCAGACCACUGCCGACUCACGGAGCUUGGGGCCAACGCGCGAGCAAGGAUCCGGCCCCCGGGAGCCUGCUCAGGGAUCCAAGAGCAUGGUCAACUGGCAAGACAGAUAAAGAUACUGAAGAGAGAGGACCUCUGAUAAUGACUUCACAAUUUCCUUGGCCGUAAGGAAACAACUCCAAAAGAAGAUGUUCGUUCAUGGCCUUCACCCAUCAGGCUCUGACACUAAACUCCUAAGGACUCUCUCUACCCAUGGAUUUUGAAUGGAUAUUAGCAACAGAAUUGACAAUCUCUUACACUAACAGUUUGCUCCCUGUUCCAACUCCCCAAUCAACCACUGUUGCUUCUCUGACAGCCCAUGCCUGCACAGAGACUGCUAUUUUCUGAUGGUGAGUGAGUCUAAGCCACCAGCCACCAGCUCAGACUACAGAAGCUACUGGUACCCCAGAAACAGACCCCUCCUCUGCUGGCUUCAUCUCACUGAGUUUGCUAACUUGUACUACCAUCACCAUUAGGGAAUCAGAUCUAAAUCCGAAGGGGUGGGACCAGAAGAGCCUCGUAGCACCAGAUGUAGUGCAGCACCCACAGUAACCCAUCAGCUCUGAUGUUGCCUGUUAUCCCUGACCAGGUUAUGGGCUCCUGAAAUGCAUUUUUUAAAUGUAAACGUAGCUAUAAGAAUCUUGUCCUAGCCUACUGGGCUUCUAGAUUUGUCAGGAUAUGCCUAAAUUGAAAGAUAGGUACAACCUGAAACUGAGCCAGAGCUACAAGAUGAUUUUAGGUCCCUACAGUUCUUCAUUAGCACAGAGAAUCCUGCUGAAAUAAUUCGAUUAAAUUGCAGGAGAUGGAACGUCUAAUCUGCUUCUGGCUCUGCCAUUCCCCAGCUGUGUGACCUUGCAUGAACUAACUUCUGCAAACUCCGGUCUUCUCACCUGUAAAAUGAGAGCUAGAUCAGAGCUUCUCAGAUGUUUGGGUUAUAAUAAUUACUAGGGCACUUGAUAAAUGGAUUUGGCUCCAUUUCUGGAGAUUCAGAAUGAAGGCAACAGUGGCCUAUGUAUAAGAAUUUGCAUUUUAAUAAACUCUCUGGGUG